UGUUUGUAGUGAUGCUGAUGUAAAGAAACCUGAGCUGCCUGUUGUAUAAGAGGAUAGCACACACCAUUAUGAACAAUGGCAACAGUGCUCAAAGGGAAGGAAGAUAAUUAAAAUGGAAGACAGAGCCAUCAAAAACCAUGUGGAGGAAAGUCACUACAUGAGCCUAGACUGAAAGAAUGUACACAGGCAGAUAUAAAUGCCUAUUUCAUUUAACGUAUUUUGCUUAGGAUCUCCUUGUUAUAAAACCUUGGCUUUUGGUCAAAUAACACAGACCAGUAAGAAAUGAGGUUGGAAGAUGGGAAUAUUUAGGAGCAGUAGGAAUGAAUGCAGGCCACAAUGUUGCACUUAUUAUGGUAAUUAAAUAACCAGGAGAGAAGUAACUAAUGAGAGAGAGUGAGCAGAAGGCUUAGAUCCAACUAAAUCAAUGGGUAAGAUUUUCCACUAUACAAUAUAUUUUUUGUAAAUGUUAAUGGGAAUUUUCCUUCUAACAUUUGAAUAACUGUUCUAGAAACUAUGAAAUAAUUACUUACAACUGGCUCAUAUACCUUAUUUUUCAAAAUUGCCACAUUAACUUAUUGGAAGUUUCACCUCCUUUUAAAUCAUGAAAAAUACGCAGUUGCAACACAGACUUAAUCAUGGGUUGAACGAAUAUAUUCUCCUAGCUUUUUCUCAUUACUGAGCUGCAGAGAGGAAAACUUCUUGGCAGACUGAUACUUCUCAACAUAGUUUUUACAAUUCCUGAAUGCCCUAAUUCUGAGGUAGAACGUGAAUUGGAUGCCUGGCUGUGAGUUUAUAUGAACGCCAGCACGGCUGACUGCAGGGUUUCUCUGCAUGUCUCCUUUGCUUGUUCUCUCAGGACUUGUCUUCCAGUAACUAUGUGAAUAGAAGAGGCAAUUUCACUAAAUAAAAUAUUAUCACUCAUUUCACCCAGUUCUAGAAUCAGAGUAAACUUGGAACAUUAUUUAAAUGGACUAAAAUGUUCAUUGUCUGAUGCUGUGAGUUGCUUUUAACAGGAAUGUUUAUAAGACAGUUUUUAUUAAUGCCAUUUCUUUAUUCAAUAAGGCUCUCCUGACACCAGUUCUUGAACUAUAAAUGUGUUUGGAUUCCCAGAGGUUUUUACACUCUACUAACAUUUAUGAUUUGUGAGAGGUAAGCCUUUCUUUUGUAAGUUGGAAAAAAAGACUGUUUGUGAAGGGGAGAGGAGAAUGGCCAUAACUGCAAUCAUCUCUCUAGCAGAUUAGUUUCAGGAACUAGUACAUGUUGAAGUAGAGGAUUUAAAGACUAUCCAUGAUUAAAUGUCUCUUUGCAAGAUACCCGUUCCCUGAGGGGCAUGCAUCAUGCACAGGAAAACCACAGGAUCUGCGAAAUGCAAGAUGACCCAACUUCCAACAGUGUUAAUCAAUGGAGUAGUCAUGAAUUACUAUGUACUCAAUUAAACUUUGUUGCAAAAAUCAUGAUCUUUAAAGCCUUUUUCCAUUCUGUCUGUAUAUUCUGUCUUUUAAUGUAACACUUUAUGUUUUAUCCAUAUAAUUUUCCCUUCAUCAGAGAUAUACUUCCCUUGCUAUCUUGACUUGAAUGCUCAUUUCAUUCAUUGCCAGUUUCAAUGGCAUGGGAAAAUGCUAAAUGUAAGUAUUAUUGGAUAUACACAAACACACACACACACACACACACACACACACACUUUGAUCAUUGGUAUGUUUUGGCUUGCUUUAUUUCUUGCUGUGUUCUGGAUAAUCCAAGGGAUCCUCUUUUAGGUAGCCUAGCAACAAUCUGACUUAGCAGAAAGGGAUGCAAAGUCUUUGAUGUGAUAACUACCUCGGAAAGUGGUGAUCAACAACAGGAUAAAUGUGUCCAGGCACACAAGAAUCUAGAGCACGGUCCCCAACGCCUGGGCCACAGACCAGUAAUGAUCCAUGAUCUGUUAGAAACCUGGCCACACAACAAGACGUUAGCAGCAGGCAAGCAAGCAAAGCUUUAUCGGUAUUUACAGCCACUCUGCAUCGCCUGCAUUACCACCUGAGCUCUGCCUCCUGUCAGAUCAGUGGUGGCAUUAGAUUCUCUCAGGAGCACGAACCCUAUAGUGAACUGCACAUGCAAGGGAUCUCAGUGGCACACUCCCUAUGACAGUCUAAUGCCUGAUGAUCUGUCACUGUCUCCCAUCACUCCCAGAUGGGACCACCUAGUUGCAGAAAAACAAGCUCAUGGCUCCCACUGAUACUACAUUAUGGGGAGUUAUGUAAUUAUUUUAUUAUAUAUUGCAAUGUAAUAAUAAUAGAAAUAAAGUGCACAAUAAAUGGAAUGCUCUCGAGUCAUUCCGAAACCAUCUCUGCUCCUAUUGGCGGAAAUACUGUCUUCCACGAAACCGGUUCCUGGUGCCAAAAAGGUUGGGGAUUGCUGAUCUAGAAGAUGGCUAUGAUAAUGAAGGCGACUGGUUUUUUCAACUUUCUUUCUGAGAAGAGGCACCCAACCAGCCACAAGGAUUGUUAAGAACAAGAAAUAAAGACAUUAUACUUUGGGUGGAUUUGCUACCAUCACUUUUCUUAUCAUAAGCAAAACAAGAAAUAUUCCUUUGCUUCUGCAUCUGCAUCAAUAUUCUUCUGUUUUGUGUGUAAGCACAAUUAAAAGCAGUAUGCACUCUCUAUAUAAAAUAUUCUCAUAAUAUUUUACAGUAUUUUUUUUAUUAUGAUCCUUCUCAUACCAAUAAAACUGGAAAAUAAUGGAGUAAACAUUCAGUUCAACCUUUAAGGGGUGGUGAAGGAGAAAACUGUGCUACAGAAUAUUGGAUGUUAACAAUAUAGAAGAAUAGGAGAUUGAUGAAAUAAAUUAGAAUAUAAAGGUAGAAUUGAUCAAUAAAUUUUAGAUUAUUAUCUUUGAAAAGAAAAUUGAACACACUCAAACUCAUAGCCCCUUACCUCAGUUUCAUCCCUAAGGCUGCCCAAUUCAAUCCUGUGGUUUGAGAUGCAGCAGGCAUACCUGCUAGGGUGAAGAAUUCUUUCCAACUAGUAUCUGAGCGCAAGUAGUCUUAAGAUCUCGUAUUUCUAUACAUGACACUAUUUCCCAAAAUUAUCCUCCAAAGUACAGUCUUGCCAUAGGAAAGCCUGAAAUAAUGGUUUGCAUCAGAAGAAAUCUCCAGGAAGCCUGAAAUAAUGGUUUUCAUCAGAAGAAAUCUCCAGAGACCUCUCCAUACAGUGCCCACAGAAGAGGAGAUAGCUGUUUCCAGUUUGGGGUUAUUAUAAAUAAAGCUGCUAUGAAUAUUUAUGUUAAAUUUUGUGGGAACAUGUGGUUUCACUUUUCAGGGAUAGAUGUCAUAAGAGUGCAAUUGUUGCAUUGCAUGAAAAGCACUUGUUUGUUUGGAUUUUUUAAGAAAAAUCAUAUGAUUUUCCAGAGUGGCUGAAUUGUUUUUCAUCCCUACCACCAAUGUAUGCGCAAUCCAGUUGCUCUGCGUCAUUACCAAUAUUUGGUUUUAUCACUAGUUCUUAUGUAACCAUUCUGAUAGGUAUGUUGUUUUAGAGAAGAAAUCAUCACUUAAGAAUGAUUUUGUGAAAGAAGGAUCUGAAUCAUGUAAGCUUCAGAGAUCUGUGUAUUAACUACAGCUGGGCUUGGUAUGCUGUAUCAGCUUGCUUCCUUUAUCAAGCCUUAUGAUGCUAUUUAAUUUCCAAAGUUCCUUUUGAGCAGGCUUGUCUAUGUCUUUUCCUUGUUAUCCUGAGAUUCCAGGGAGGACUGUGUGUGUGUGUGUGUGUGUGUACACAUGCAUAUGUGCACAUGCACACACAUACAUGUGUGCACUUGUGUGGGCCAUAGAUUAUGCACUCCUGAUAGUACAAGAAUGGUGAUGUUAUGGAUACAUUCUGGCUUAAAGUACAAAAUCACCUUUACUUAUUUUUCUCACUUUUUAAAAAUUUUUUGCCAAGUCUUAUGUAUCUAAUUUUCUUGAUGUCUAUUAACAUGUUUCUUCCCUUGCGUCUUCAGUCACUGACAUAAGUUAGAUUCUUAUUUUUCUUACUGCACUAUUGCUUCUUAUUCUUCCUGUUUUAUUCAAUGUUUUGAUCAAUUCAUGAAUGCCUACUGUACCUUGAAUCAUAUCACACACAUAUCUAUAAGCUUCCAAUAAUAUUUGUUUUCUGCAUAGUUAAGUAAAAGUAAUUUCCCUUUGGAAUAUUCUUUAAUGUCACUAUUUUGUCUUAAAAUCCUCAUACUGACUUUUCUCUCCACAUUGUGCUCUCAGCUUGGAUUACUUACUUCUACGGAAGCACUCCACUGCUUUCCUAUCUGAACGCUUUCACUUACCUGUUCCUUUCUGAACGAUUUUACUCUAUAUCUUCCUAUGAAAUCCUGCCAGUUCUCAAAGUCCUUUGCUAAUGCCAAUUUUAUUUCUAAAUUCCAGUAACAUCUUAUCUAUAUAUUUUUAAACCCUAUACUAUUAUGUUUUUCACUUAUCUUACAGCUCCAAUGAGCUCCUUGAGAACAGAGGUAGAUUACACCCCAUGUUGUGUCCCACCUGUAUUAUUCUGCUCAGGCUGCCACAACAAAAACCACAGACUUGGGGCCUUACACAACAGAAAUUUGUUUCUCACAGUUCUGGGAUCUGGGAAGUCCGAGACCAAGGUGCUGGCCAAUUAGGUACCUUGUACAGCCUCUUUUCCUGGCCUGUGGACAGCAGCCUUCUUGCUGUGUCCUCAUACGGUGGGGACAGAGCAAACAACCUUCCUGCUGUGUCUUCUUGUAAGGGCACUACAGUCCCAUCAUGAUGGGCCCAUCCAUCCUCAUGACCUAAUCUAAACCUAAUUACCUCCCAAAGGCCUGAACCCCAGUUAUUAUCACACUGAGGAUUAGGCUUCCACAUAUGAAUUCAGGAUUGGGGAGCACAAUUCAGUUCAUACCACAAUGUGUUAUUGAACACAGUGCUUUGAACUGUGCUUUGAACACAGAAACUACAUAAUAAUUUCUCAAUAAAUACUUGUCAAACUGACUUGUAAUAGAAACCCUUUCAAAAGACAAAUGAGAGAAAUGGUGGUAAUAAAAAUUAUCUUGAUUUCCAGUUCCCUUCUAUAGCAGCUACACACACACACAGAGAGAGAGAGAGAGAGAGAGAGAGAGCGCAAGAGAGCUAAAGAUAUAAAAGAAACUGAGCAAACAAUUCUCACAUCAAGGAUUCUCGAGUAGAAAUCAGCCCAGCAUUAAACUAAACAGGUAAAGAGAGGAUACUGACAUAACAAUUUUUUUAAAUCACAUUUGAAUUCACAAUAUUGUGUGGAUUCACUUAAUGAUUUCUUUAGAAAGAUUAACUACUUGGAAAGAUUACUAUAAUAAAAAUAUGCUUAUAAGUGAAAAGCAGGAGAAGUUAACUAUUUUGCAAAACAAUUGUUAUUGAAUCUAUGUAGAUAAGCUCAACUUUAUCUGCUCUGGCAAAAUGCAGUGCUGACUUAAGUAACUGUAAGUAUACCAAUGUUUAGACUAUUUAGUAUCCAAAAGCUUUUUC
rnacentral:lncRNA from 1 species